GCGCCCGUAGCUCAGUUGGUAGAGCAGCGGGACGGUUCCCCACGGUCCUGGGUUCAAGGCCCAGCAGUCGCU